CACAAGCGGUGGAUGAUGUGGAUUAAUUCGAUGCAACGCGAAAAACCUUACCUACCCUUGACAUGUCUGGAAUGCCGAAGAGAUUUGGCAGUGCUCGCAAGAGAACCGGAACACAGGUGCUGCAUGGCUGUCGUCAGCUCGUGUCGUGAGAUGUUGGGUUAAGUCCCGCAACGAGCGCAACCCUUGUCAUUAGUUGCUACGCAAGAGCACUCUAAUGAGACUGCCGGUGACAAACCGGAGGAAGGUGGGGAUGACGUCAAGUCCUCAUGGCCCUUAUGGGUAGGGCUUCACACGUCAUACAAUGGUCGGGACAGAGGGUCGCCAACCCGCGAGGGGGAGCCAAUCUCAGAAACCCGAUCGUAGUCCGGAUCGCAGUCUGCAACUCGACUGCGUGAAGUCGGAAUCGCUAGUAAUCGCGGAUCAGAAUGUCGCGGUGAAUACGUUCCCGGGUCUUGUACACACCGCCCGUCACACCAUGGGAGUGGGUUUCACCAGAAGUAGGUAGCCUAACCGUAAGGAGGGCGCUUACCACGGUGGGAUUCAUGACUGGGGUGAAGUCGUAACAAGGUAACCGAAGGGGGAAUUCGUUUAAAC
rnacentral:rRNA from 1 species